GCUCGUGUAGCUCAGUGGUUAGAGCUUCGUGCUUAUAGAUGAACCCGAUUUCGGAUCAUUCUGUCCUACGGCCUUUCAAAGCAGGUCAAUACAGCAAGCAACGCGACCGUCGUGGGUUCGAACCCCACCUCGAGCA
rnacentral:tRNA from 1 species